rnacentral:rRNA from 1 species
UACGUAGGGGGCAAGCGUUGUCCGGAAUCAUUGGGCGUAAAGCGCGUGUAGGCGGUCCGGUAAGUCCGCUGUGAAAGCCGGGGGCUCAACCCUCGGAUGCCGGUGGAUACUGCCGGGCUUGAGUACGGAAGAGGCGAGUGGAAUUCCUGGUGUAGCGGUGAAAUGCGCAGAUAUCAGGAGGAACACCAAUUGCGAAGGCAGCUCGCUGGGACGUUACUGACGCUGAGACGCGAAAGCGUGGGGAGCAAACAGG